rnacentral:lncRNA from 1 species
UAGCUUAUAAACAACAGAAAUUUUUAUUUAUUUAUUUAUUGAGACAGAAUCUUGUUCUGUUGCCCAGGCCGGAGUGCAGUGCAAGACCUUGUCUCGGAAAAAAAAGAAAAGAGAGAGAUAAAUCUGAGAACUACCAGUUGGUAGGCUAAAGUUCAAACUCUUUUGAGGGCCCCACAGUCUGGCCCACACAAACUCCACCCACUUCUGCCAACCCUGUCCUCACAUCCUUGGGUUUGUUUCCGGCUUAGAACAUCCAGUCCUCCCACCUAACACAGUCCUUCAAACUGACAACUCCACCCUCCUGCCUUUGAGGCUUUCCUCAAGUGCCCAAGGCAGAAGAGGAAGCACAGACUCCUGGGACUGCCAAAUGGAGAGACCUCUGAGGCUGCUCAUACUGUGGCUGGAGAAACCUAGCCAGGACGGGGCUCACCUCGUU